AGACGGAGGAUGCAAGCGUUAUCCGGAUUUAUUGGGUUUAAAGGGUGCGUAGGCUGUUUGUCAAGUCAGGGGUGAAAUGCCCGGGCCUAACCCGGGAACUGCCUUUGAUACUGGCAGGCUGGAAUACGGAUGCCGUGGGAGGAAUGAGUAGUGUAGCGGUGAAAUGCAUAGAUAUUACUCAGAACACCGAUUGCGAAGGCAUCUCACGAAUCCGUCAUUGACGCUGAGGCACGAAAGCGUGGGGAUCAAACAGGAUUAGAUACCCUGGUAGUCCACGCAGUAAACGAUGAUAACUAACCGUCGGCGAUAGAGUGUCGGUGGCCAAGCGAAAGCGAUAAGUUAUCCACCUGGGGAGUACGUUCGCAAGAAUGAAACUCAAAUGAAUUGACGGGG
rnacentral:rRNA from 1 species